GCCAGUGUGGUGAAGUGGUUUAAGUGCCACGCUGUGACUCUAGAGACCAGGGUUCGAUUCCCGGCUCAGCCA